GGCCCAUGGUGGGAGAGGUGACAAAGCUGGUCCUUCGACAUGGCCAGAGGUUGAAGGGCCACUAGAGGUCGUAUUGUUCGAGGGUUGGAUGCUUGGUUUCAAACCUCUACCAAACGAAGUCGUCAAAGUAAUUGACCCACAGCUGGAGAUCAUAAACAAAAAACUUGAAACUUAUUAUGAUGCAUGAGAUAAGUUCGUAUAGUCGGGGAUAAUUAUCAAGAUCAAGGACCCAAGCUGCGUCUUUCAGUAGCGGUUGCAGGCUAAGGUUGAUAUGAGGGCAGAGGGCAAACCUGGUAUGUCUGAUGAAGAGGUAUGUUUCUUCAUCCAACAUUUUCUUCUAUCUUCUUGUAAUCUUGCCUCGUAUCCCCUAAUUAUCUAUACUUGGGCUCAUGUAAUUACCAUUCUUC